UAAUACGGAGGGUGCAAGCGUUAUCCGGAUUUAUUGGGUUUAAAGGGUCCGCAGGCGGAACUUUAAGUCAGUGGUGAAAGCCUACAGCUUAACUGUAGAACUGCCAUUGAAACUGAAGUUCUUGAGUGUGGUUGAGGUGGGCGGAAUAUGUCAUGUAGCGGUGAAAUGCAUAGAUAUGACAUGGAACACCUAUUGCGAAAGCAGCUCACUAAACCAUUACUGACGCUCAUGGACGAAAGUGUGGGUAGCGAACAGGAUUAGAUACCCUGGUAGUCCACACCGUAAACUAUGAUCACUAGAUGUUGGCGAUAUAAUGUCAGUGUUAAAGAGAAAUCGUUAAGUGAUCCACCUGGGGAGUACGUUCGCAAGAAUG
rnacentral:rRNA from 1 species